rnacentral:misc_RNA from 1 species
GAUGAAGAACGCAGCGAAAUGCGAUACGUAAUGUGAAUUGCAGAUCUCUCAGUGAAUCAUCGAAUCUUUGAACGCACAUUGCGCCCGCCAGUAUUCUGGCGGGCAUGCCUGUUCGAGCGUCAUUUCAACCCUCAAGCACAGCUUGGUGUUGGGACUCGCGUUAAUUCGCGUUCCCCAAAUUGAUUGGCGGUCACGUCGAGCUUCCAUAGCGUAGUAGUAAAACCCUCGUUACUGGUAAUCGUCGCGGCCACGCCGUUAAACCCCAACUUCUGAAUGUUGACCUCGGAUCAGGUAGGAAUACCCGCUGAACUUAAGCAUAUCAAUAAGCGGAGGA